CGCACAGUGAUGGGUGUGGGGCGGUUUGGGGUCGCGGUGUCGGCCCCCCAUGUGGGGUGGCGCCGCCCCACUGCAGCGCUGCGCUUUAUCUGCAGGGCGGAGGCGGCGGUGGGGGAGAGCGGCACCGACAGCUGCAGCUGCAGUGGGUGCAGGAAAUGCAGAGCAUGGAGCUGCCCGCAGUGCAGGAGCAGCUGCUGUGGCUGCAGCGCUGGUUGGAUGCGGUGGGAGCAGCGGCUGCAGGUAAUGCAGCGCAGCUGCACGGAGCGCAGCGGGCACUGCGGGGCGCUGCAAUGGGGGGCUGCGGCGCCUCAAUUCAUCACCGCCCCCCACAGCACUGCCCCCCACAUCACUGCCCCCCACAUCACUGCCCCCCAUCCAUCACUGCCCCCCCACAUCUCUGCC
ensembl:lncRNA